UACAGAGGGUGCAAGCGUUAAUCGGAAUUAUUGGGCGUAAAGCGUGCGUAGUCGGUUAUUUAAGUCGGGUGUGAAAGCCCCGGGCUCAACCUGGGAAUUGCAUUCGAUACUGGAUAGCUAGAGUUCGGCAGAGGGAAGCGGAAUUUCCGGUGUAGCGGUGAAAUGCGUAGAUAUCGGAAGGAACAUCAGUGGCGAAAGCGGCUUCCUGGACCAGAACUGACGAUCAGGCACGAAAGCGUGGGGAGCAAACAGG
rnacentral:rRNA from 1 species